AAAUAAAUUCAAACAACUGUGUUUUAUGACGAAACUUACUCUGGUUUAUUAUUUUGAGAAAACGCCCCCUGCUUAUUAACCUUACGAAGACGAAACUACUAAUUUAUGUAUGGGUACCAAAGCUCUGGGCGUGAAGACUAACUCACAAGUCACUGGAAAAACGUGCAUGGAAAGCAUGGACACAGAAAACCCAAACACUCAUUGUAGCUGAUGGCGAUAUGCUUGAAUCUUUGGGCCGACUUUGGGGUGAGGGAGGGGGGAUGACGCGCAGCAAUCACCACGGAUCGGGCUCAAACCCGGGCCGGUGCGGUUGGGACUGAGCCUUCAUGGUACACGCCCUACCAGAUGAGCCACCUGGAUAUUCUUUAAUUAGAUUUCUUAUUAUCGGCUAAUUAACGGGGAGAUUUUCUGAACGUAGUUUCUUGCCGGGAGCUUCAGCCGUCGUUGCGUUUACAAGAAAAUUGGUUAUAAUACGCCCCCUGAGCGGCGCCACGUCUUCCGGGCAGAUUGGAGGCUACAGUGAGUUGCUACCAGAAAGUGAGGACACGGCUGGUUAGCAUGCUAACUUCAGUAAAAGAAAAGACGUGGUAGAGACAAGAGUGAACAUUGACGUUGCUUUCCGCUGCUGGAGACAACUCUUGGCGAGUAAAGUAAUGAAGUUUGAUGCUGAACUCGCAACGUUUCCUCUAGACUGCUCUCAGCUCCAUACCAGUCCCUGGAGCGGCCAGACACGACGGUGUGCACACAGCAAAGCCUAAAGGCAGUGGCGUUGACCAGUGACAGCAAUCAUGAGGAUGGCUGGGAUACUUCGGAUAAAGGACAUGUCCAUCAUGGUGGUGACAUUAGCGGUCAGCCCUCGGAGGCUGUUGCCCCCCUGCUGAGAGCUGUUGGAGUUGGGG